rnacentral:rRNA from 1 species
UGGGGAAUAUUGCACAAUGGAGGGAACUCUGAUGCAGCGACGCCGCGUGAACGAAGAAGGCUUUCGAGUCGUAAAGUUCUUUUAUAUGGGAAGAUAAUGACGGUACCAUAAGAAAAGCCCCGGCUAACUACGUGCCAGCAGCCGCGGUAAUACGUAGGGGGCUAGCGUUGUCCGGAAUCACUGGGCGUAAAGGGUUCGCAGGCGGAAAUGCAAGUCAGGUGUAAAAGGCAGUAGCUUAACUACUGUAAGCAUUUGAAACUGCAUAUCUUGAGAAGAGUAGAGGUAAGUGGAAUUUUUAGUGUAGCGGUGAAAUGCGUAGAUAUUAAAAAGAAUACCGGUGGCGAAGGCGACUUACUGGGCUCAUUCUGACGCUGAGGAACGAAAGCGUGGGUAGCAAACAGG